rnacentral:rRNA from 1 species
ACGGGUGAGUAACACGUGGAUAAUCUUCCCUCGAGCGGGGGAUAACAUUCCGAAAGGAGUGCUAAUACCGCAUAAGACCACGCCUCCGAAAGAAGGCGAGGUAAAAGCCGGCCUCUAUACAUAAGCUGGCACUUGAGGAUGAGUCCGCGGCCCAUCAGCUAGUUGGCAGGGUAACGGCCUACCAAGGCGAAGACGGGUAGCUGGUCUGAGAGGAUGAUCAGCCACACUGGAACUGACACACGGUCCAGACUCCUACGGGAGGCAGCAGUGGGGAAUCUUGCGCAAUGGACGAAAGUCUGACGCAGCGACGCCGCGUGGGUGAUGAAGGCCUUCGGGUUGUAAACUCCUGUCGAGGGGGAGGAAGGCGCAAGCUUGACCUAUCCCUGGAGGAAGCACGGGCUAAGUUCGUGCCAGCAGCCGCGG